rnacentral:lncRNA from 1 species
GUGGGUGUGUGUGUCUUUGCGAGUGUGUGUGAUUGUGCAUGAUGGAUUGGUUAGUGUCACAGCUUUGUUUGUAUACAUAGUGUUUAUAUGCUGUGUGCGUGAGUGUAUGCCUAUGUGUGUGUGUGUGUGUGUGUUGUAGCGGUGAGUUUGUUUAUAUACUGUGUGUGUACGGUCUACAGUAUAUAUAUAUUGUGUGUGUGUGUGUGUGUGUGUGUAUACACAGUAUAUAUAUUGUGUGUGUGUGUGUGUGUGUAUACACAGUAUAUAUAUAGUGUGUGUGUGUGUGUGUGUAUACACAGUAUAUAUAUUGUGUGUGUGUGUGUGUAUGUACAUUAUACAUUGUGUGUGUGUGUGUGUGUGUGUGUAUACACAGUAUAUAUAUAGUGUGUGUGUGUGUGUGUAUACACAGUAUAUAUAUUGUGUGUGUGUGUGUAUGUACAUCAUACAUUGUGUGUGUGUGUGUGUGUUGUAGCGGUGCGGCGGUGUGUGUCGGGGUCUCUGGUGUGUGAGACCUCCUCCUCCUGCCUCCCUCUGGACCUCCGAUGUGACCGCACCCCCCACUGCCCCCCCUACCUCCCCGACGAGUCCAGCUGUCAUGGUAACCAACACACACACACACACACACACACACACACACACACACACACACACACACACACACACACACACACACACACACGCGCGCAAGCUUCAUACACUACAUUUACAUUUAUUGAGGGACUCAUACAUACAGUAUCCUCCUGUAUGUAUCUCCUCAACACCUGCUCCUCAUCUCCUCUCCUCUCUCCUCCACUCCUCCUUUCCUCUCCUCUCCUCCUCUCUACUCCUCAUCUCCUCCUCUCUUAUCUCCUCUCCUCCCCUCUCCUCUUCUCUCUCCUCCUCUCCUCUCUCCUCUCUCCUCCUCUCCUCCUCUCCUCUCUCCUCCCCUCUCCUUUUCUCCUCCUCUCCUCUUCUCUCUCCUCCUCUCCUGUCCUCUCUCCUCCUCUCCUCUUCUCUCUCUUUUCCUCUCCUUUCCUCCUCUCCUCUCCUCCUCUCCCCUCUCCCCCCCUCUCUCCUCCUCUCUUCCACUCCUCUCCUCCUCUCUUAUCUCCUCCCCUCUCCUUUUCUCCUCCUCUCCUGUCCUCUCUCCUCUUCUCUCUCCUCCUCUCCUCUCUCCUCCUCUCCUCCUCUCCUCGCUCCUCCCCUCUCUCCUCCUCUCUUCCUCUCCUCUCCUCCUCUCUUAUCUCCUCCCCUCUCCUUUUCUCCUCCUCUCCUCUCCUCCUCAGAGUGCCCUCAGUCGUUUUGUCUCGCAGGAGGAACGUGCACCGUGGGGAGACACGGGCCGACGUGCGCGUGUAGCCCAGGGUGGACAGGAAACCGCUGUCAGGUGAAAGAAAAGGACACGCCCCUAACCACCCCUCCCCCACCUCGCCCGCCCCACCGUCACCGCCACCUCGGUAAAAGACCAAGCUCCUCCUUUUCCUCCUCCUCCUCUGUGCUCCUGUGUCUCCAUUUCCUGAAUGCGUCAGCCCAUCAAACAGCUCACUUCCUGUUUAAUGUACUUCCUGUUUCUGUCCUCUUCAGACUCUGUGUUUGUGGGCGUCACCCUGGGACUGGUGCUGGCUGUCAUGGCAACGGGACUGAUGGUGGUAUUCACCAAGACGUGAGACUGAUGAUCCGACUAGUUGCGAUGAGGAUGAGGAUGAUGAUGAUAAUUAAGAAGGAGAUGAUGAUGAUGAUGAUGAAGAGGUUGAUGAUGAGGAUGAUGAAGAUGAUGAUGAUGAUGAUGAUGUAGAGGUUAAUGAUGAGGAUGAUGAUGAAGAGGUUGAUUAUGAGGAUGAUGAUGAUGAUGAUGAAGAGGUUGAUGAUGAGGAUGAUGAUGAUGAAGAGGUGGAUGAUGAGGACGAUGGUGUGUAGAGGUUGAUGAUGAUGAUAAGGAGGAUGAUGAUGAUGAAGAAAGGGAAAAUGUUAAUGAUGAGGAUGAUGGUGAUUAUGAUGAUGAGGAUGAUGGUGAUGAAGAAGCAGAUAAUGAUGAUGUUGAUAGAGGGGAUGAUGAUGAUAAUGAAGAGGAGGAGGAUGAUGAUGAUGAGAAUGAUGGUAUUUCUUUGCUCCAGAAGGUGUUGCGACAGUGGACCGGUGAAGGGUUCCACCUUUGACCCCAAAUCAGAGGUCAGAGGGACACACACCACACACACACACACACACACACACACACACACACACACACACACACACACACACACACACACACACACACACACACACACACACACACACACACACACACACACACACACUGGUUAGGUUAGGAGGGAGGACCUGAAGGAGAGCAGAUGUGCGUUGGAGAGCCAGCUGUGGCCCUGAUGUUGUGCGCCUCCUCUGCAGCUGUCUGGAGGGGGAGCAGCGGGGGUCUGGCCCCGGGACCCCCCCAGGAGGGGCCCUCUCCCUGAGCUGGCCAUCAGCGUCUACCCCUGGAGCCACGCACAGGUCUGGAGACUCACUUUAACCUCUGACCACAUGC